ACCCCCUUGUAAUGAAAUUAAGAGCUACUCAAAGGAGGUACAGCUCCUUUGACAAAGAAUACAACCUCCCCUAGCGGAUAACUGUACCCCUCUCUCCCUUGUGGGCCUUAAAGCAGCCACCAACAAAGAAUGCGUCAAAGCUCAUAACUCUAAAAAUCCAAAAAAACACACGACUCCCUUACCUACAGCAGGCCAACCUAUGACAAUAGAAGAAUUAAUGCUAGAAUGAGUAACCUGAGGCUCCCCCUCCAAAAGCGUAAACUUACAUUAAUACAUUAUUAACAGACCACCUAUACCACCACUUCAACAAGAACACAUAUUCCUCUCCCUGUUAAACCCACCCAGGAACGCACACUGGACGAUUAAAAUCUGCAGAAGGAACUCGGCAAACCCCAAGGCCCGACUGUUUACCAAAAACAUAGCCUUCAGCCAACAACAAGUAUUGAAGGUGAUGCCUGCCCAGUGACAUCAAAGUUCAACGGCCGCGGUAUCCUAACCGUGCAAAGGUAGCGCAAUCAAUUGUCCCAUAAAUCGAGACUUGUAUGAAUGGCUAAACGAGGUCUUAGCUGUCUCCUGCAGAUAAUCGGUGAAAUUGAUACUCUCGUGCAAAAGCGAGAAUGUGAGCAUAAGACGAGAAGACCCUGUGGAACUUAAAAAUCAACGACCACCUAACUAAGUACUCCCCCAUACGGGCCCACCCACCAUCAUUAGUGCCUGGCCAGUAUUUUUCGGUUGGGGCGACCUUGGAGAAAAAAAAAUCCUCCAAAUAACCCAGGCCACAACCCUUCACUAAGAGCUACAACUCAAAGUACUAAAAGUCACUAGACCCAAUACAAUUGACCAAUGGACCAAGCUACCCCAGGGAUAACAGCGCAAUCCCCUCCAAGAGCCCAUAUCGACAAGGGGGUUUACGACCUCGAUGUUGGAUCAGGACAACCUAAUGGUGCAGCCGCUAUUAAGGGUUCGUUUGUUCAAGAUUAAAAGUCCUACGUGAUCUGAGUUCAGACCGGGGCAAU
rnacentral:rRNA from 1 species